rnacentral:rRNA from 1 species
GACGAACGCUGGCGGCGUGCUUAACACAUGCAAGUCGAACGGAAAGGCCUCUUUCUGGGGGUACUCGAGUGGCGAACGGGUGAGUAACACAUGAGUAACCUGCCCUUGACUUUGGGUUAACUUCCGGAAACUGGGGCUAAUACCUGCUAGGAGCUCCUGCUGCAUGGUGGGGGUUGGAAAGUUUCGGCGUUUUGGAGUGGGCUCGCGGCUUAUCCGCUUGUUGUUGGGGUAGUGGCUUACCAAGGCGUUGACGGGUAGCCGGCCUGUGAGGGUGACCGGCGACAUUGGGACUGAGAGACGGCCCAGACACCUACGGGAGGCAGAAGUGGGGAAUCUUGAACGAUGGGUGGAGGCCUGAUGCAGCAGGGCCGUGUGCGGGAUGACGCCCUUCGGGUUGUAAACCGCAUUCGCUCAUGACGAAGCUUUGUGUGACGGUAGUGGGUAAAGAAGCACCGGCUAACUACGUG